GAUGAAGAACGCAGCGAAAUGCGAUAAGUAAUGUGAAUUGCAGAAUCCAGUGAAUCAUCGAAUCUUUGAACGCACAUUGCGCCCGCCAGCAUUCUGGCGGGCAUGCCUGUUCUAGCGUCAUUUCAACCCUCGACCUCCCCUUGGGGAGGUCGGCGUUGGGGACCGGCAGCACACCGCCGGCCCUGAAAUGGAGUGGCGGCCCGUCCGCGGCGACCUCUGCGCAGUAAUACAGCUCGCACCGGGACCCCGACGCGGCCACGCCGUAAAACACCCAACUUCUGAACGUUGACCUCGAAUCAGGUAGGACUACCCGCUGAACUUAAGCAUAUCAAUAAGCGGAGGA
rnacentral:misc_RNA from 1 species